UCUGUUCUCCACAUGCAGAGUACAGGCAACUCCUGCUUAACGCUGUUUCAUUUAGUACUAUUUUGCUAUAACUCUCAUUUGAACUUGAUACCUGAUUUCACUUAGCGCUUAGCAAGUUUUGUUAUAAUGCCUGCGGUUACCAUCUUGGGUCAUUA